AAUUUUAUAUAAGAGUCUUAUCGUAUAAAUGCAGGAAUAGGGCCUGCGCGUCUCUACCAAACUACCGUAAAUAGUUUGACUACGAUAAUCAUCUAAUUUUAU
rnacentral:ncRNA from 2 species